CGGCCCGAGUGGUGAUCGUGAUUAUUGGGUCUAAAGGGUCCGUAGCCGGUUGGUCAGUCCUCCGGGAAAUCUGAUAGCUCAACUAUUAGGCUUUCGGGGGAUACUGCCAGACUUGGAACCGGGAGAGGUAAGAGGUACUACAGGGGUAGGAGUGAAAUCUUGUAAUCCCUGUGGGACCACCUGUGGCGAAGGCGUCUUACCAGAACGGGUUCGACGGUGAGGGACGAAAGCUGGGGGCACGAACCGGACUAGAUACCCGGGUAGUCCCAGCCGUAAACGAUGCUCGCUAGGUGUCAGGCAUGGCGCGACCGUGUCUGGUGCCGCAGGGAAGCCGUGAAGCGAGCCACCUGGGAAGUACGGCCGCAAGGCUGAAACUUAAAGGAAUUGGCGGGGGAGCACAACAACGGGUGGAAGCCUGCGGUUUAAUUGGACUCAACGCCGGACAACUCACCGGGGGCGACAGCAAUAUGUAGGCCAAGCUGAAGACUUUGCCUGAAUCGCUGAGAAGUGGUGCAUGG
rnacentral:rRNA from 1 species